ensembl:lncRNA
AUGGGGAGCCUCAGUCUCCCCCUUCUUCCUUUCUCCUCUCCCUCCCCAACCCCACACCGGACUUCCUUCCCCCUCCCCUCCACCCGCGGCUGCCGGAGCCCCCAAGCCCGGAGGCCUGAGUUUCCAGCAUCUUACGGGGACCGCCGGCAGCGAUCUGAUGGCAUCUCUGUCCACCUCCGUGGAUGCUGGAAUCUCCGGGCUGGUUCUGGCUCCACUGGGCUGUGUGGUCCGAGCAUUCGCCUCUUCUUAGGGUGAGGUCGCUGCGACUCGUUUCAGCCACUGGCUCCUGGACACGUGGGUGUGCACAGAGUUUUCGCCCCCCUCUCAACUCAGGAACUGUCUCAUCCCACGAGCCUCAUAGUUCAGUGUCCCACAAAAAUGGGGACUUUGGCAGCAGUGACUGCUCAGCACAGGAAGUUAUCCAGCGCCCUGAACAAAGCCUUCAGUGUGCCAGAGUUCAAAAUAAGAAAACAGUAAACAAACAAACAAACAAAUCCUGGGAGGAAACAAGGCGUGGGGCAGAGGAAAACUUCACAGAAAUCUCAGACCUCCCAAGACAUACUAAAAAAGUUUUGUGGAAGGGGUGCUCUUUUUGGUUAACUUCUAAUUUCAAAUUUCAGUACAUUAUAGUCAAUGACUGUGGCCUAUAUAAACUUCUAAUUUGAGG